rnacentral:rRNA from 1 species
AUGGCGAGAGUGGAGCUGCAGGUGGAGCCUUGGCAAGAAUACGUGAUCCAAGCGGUGGUGCUGCUGAGCUUCACGAUGCAGCUAAUGCUUCUCCUGCUGGCGGAGCUCCGCCGGCGCAUGGACUCCGGCGUGUUAAGAGCUGUCAUCUGGUCAGCCUACAUGCUGGCCGACUCGACCGCGACCUACACCCUGGGCCACCUCUCCUUGACGAGCAGGUCAGCCGAUCACCAGCUGAUGGCGUUCUGGGCGCCGUUCCUGCUGCUGCACCUUGGCGGGCAGGACAACAUCACGGCCUACGCCAUCGAGGACAACCGGCUCUGGCUGCGGCACCUGCAGGCGCUCGCCGUGCAGGUCGCCGCGGCUUCCUACAUCCUCUACGAAUCCACUGUGGUCGGCACCCAGGACCUGCUCCGUUAUGCCGCGGUUCUCAUGUUCGUGGUGGGCGUUGUCAAGUACGGGGAGAGGGUGUGGGCGCUCAAGCAUGCAGACAUUAGCUCGUCGGGUAGCAAAUACCGGUUCUACAAGAACACGACCGAUACUCCGAGUGGACCUCCGACAGAUGAGCGAGACAACACAGAGGGCCUGCUGCGGACUGCCCACCUUCUGCUGGAUGUUCCAAAGGACAUGUUUCAGGGGCCGUUGCCCAUUGUUGUGGUACCAAAACACCUGUACGGUGAUGACCACGCCAAGUCCAUCUCCGCGGAUGAGAUGUACAAGGUGGUGGAGAUGCAGCUCAGCCUGAUGCACGACGUCGUGUACAGCAAGGCUGUGGUGAUCUACACAUGGUAUGGCCUCUGCAUUCGCGUCAUUUCUCCGGUGUUCACCGCGGUCGCGUUUGUGCUAUUCCACAGGUCGGGCUUGUCAGCGGGUGACCACCACUACAGCAGAGCAGAUGUUGUCAUCACGUAUAUUCUGCUAGGUGGGGCGGUUACGCUGGAGAUGAUUUCGGUGCUAAGGGCCAUGUUCUCAAGAUGGACAAGCCUGGUUCUAAACGCCCGAGAAGAAAGGGGCAUGUGGGGUCUGCUUGCUCAUGCAAUCACGUCUAUCCGCCGAUUCGUCCUUCCAAAGAGGCGCAGGUCGAAAUGGUGGUGGUCAAACUCUAUGGGGCAACACAACCUGAUUGACUUGUGCGUCCGCAGCAGGGUCAGCCGAACAAGCAGAUUCGCUGGCUGGAUGGGGUUCGAGGACCGGUGGAACACCAUGGUCUACUCAAGCUCCAUCCCUGUCUCCACAACUAUCAAUAAGCUAGUGAUGAACCAAGUGCUCAGGACUAAGCAGUGCUAUUUGCUAGACUACGACUCGUGCUCCAAUAGCACGGACGAGCCAGAUCACAUCAUUAAUUCAAGGGGUCGUCAUGCCUUAAAGAGGUUCCAGUUGUACGAGAAACUGGAGAAGUUCCUGUAUAACGAGUUGGAUGAGAGCAUCCUCGUGUGGCACAUAGCCACCGAUCUAUAUCUCCGUUGGCACAAAGAUCAGGGGCAAGCUGCUGCAGAUGAUGUGCGUCGCCUUGCCAUGGCAACCGAGGAGAUCUCCAAUUACAUGGUUUUCCUCCUCGCCGCACGCCCCUACAUGCUGCCGGGCUCGGUCAGCCGCACUAGGUAUGUUAAUAUGUGCUAUUGCCUCACAUGUCUCAAGUACAAUACAGACCAGGAUUUGGUCAGCUUGCUACAGAGUAAGAUGCAGGAGUACCUUAAGAGGGAAAAUAUAAAUGAUAGUAAAAAGCUAAGGGACAUUUCCUCUAACCGUACACUGCUUCGUGCAACCAAACUUGCUCGCGAGCUAGUCUCUCCAGAAUCUGGCCCACCUGCUAAGUUGGAGAUGAUCGCCGAGGUGUGGACGGAGAUGCUGUGCUAUGCGGGGUACAAAUGCAGUGGGUAUUCUCAUACCAAGCAGCUGAGCAACGGCGGCGAGCUCCUCACCGUCGCUGCCCUUGUGGUGGAGUACCGCAGAAGAGGCAUCCUCCAACCUACUGACCCGAUGUACCUCUAUGGCUCUGGCACUUUUCAGUUUAUCAAGCUCAGAGCUGAGUCCCUUAUUGAGUCAUCCAAUCUUCUUUCUCUUCUGGGUGAUACAGACUAUGUCCCGUCUAGCUCGGGAUCCCUUGAGGCUCCCUGA